rnacentral:rRNA from 1 species
UACUCCUGACUGACCGAUAGUGAACCAGUACCGUGAGGGAAAGGCGAAAAGAACCCCGGCGAGGGGAGUGAAAAAGAACCUGAAACCGUGUACGUACAAGCAGUGGGAGCACAGAGCAAUCUGUGUGACUGCGUACCUUUUGUAUAAUGGGUCAGCGACUUAUAUUCUGUAGCAAGGUUAACCGAAUAGGGGAGCCGAAGGGAAACCGAGUCUUAACUGGGCGUUAAGUUGCAGGGUAUAGACCCGAAACCCGGUGAUCUAGCCAUGGGCAGGUUGAAGGUUGGGUAACACUAACUGGAGGACCGAACCGACUAAUGUUGAAAAAUUAGCGGAUGACUUGUGGCUGGGGGUGAAAGGCCAAUCAAACCGGGAGAUAGCUGGUUCUCCCCGAAAGCUAUUUAGGUAGCGCCUCGUGAAUUCAUCUCCGGGGGUAGAGCACUGUUUCGGCAAGGGGGUCAUCCCGACUUACCAACCCGAUGCAAACUGCGAAUACCGGAGAAUGUUAUCACGGGAGACACACGGCGGGUGCUAACGUCCGUCGUGAAGAGGGAAACAACCCAGACCGCCAGCUAAGGUCCCAAAGUCAUGGUUAAGUGGGAAACGAUGUGGGAAGGCCCAGACAGCCAGGAUGUUGGCUUAGAAGCAGCCAUCAUUUAAAGAAAGCGUAAUAGCUCACUGGUCGAGUCGGCCUGCGCGGAAGAUGUAACGGGGCUAAACCAUGCAC